rnacentral:SRP_RNA from 1 species
GCUGAGCCUGGUAGCAUGGGCUUGUAACUCGAGCGAAAGCAUACAAGGUGGCUGGACUGUGGCAUUGGGGCUCGUGGGUGGGUUGCCAUGUUUCAAUUGGCGUGCCCUCUCCAAGUCAGGAGUUGGUUGGCUCUAUCGAGCCGAAGGGCUUGGUUGACUCAUCCCUACAGUGGAGGAAAAUGCGUGAGGCUGGCUUUACAGAGCAGCGACUACCUCUCGCUCUUGGCAGUGGAAGGAUAACAUGUUGGUUUUUGGAAUUACCCAAUUAAACCCGAUGAGUAUCAUUUCCAUAUGGACAACCACUUUU